rnacentral:rRNA from 1 species
CAGUAGCCACGGUAAUACGUAGGGUGCAAGCGUUAAUCGGAAUUACUGGGCGUAAAGCGUGCGCAGGCGGUUAUAUAAGACAGAUGUGAAAUCCCCGGGCUCAACCUGGGAACUGCAUUUGUGACUGUAUAGCUAGAGUACGGCAGAGGGGGAUGGAAUUCCGCGUGUAGCAGUGAAAUGCGUAGAUAUGCGGAGGAACACCGAUGGCGAAGGCAAUCCCCUGGGCCUGUACUGACGCUCAUGCACGAAAGCGUGGGGAGCAAACAGGAUUAGAUACCCGAGUAGUCCCUGUCUCUUAUAU